GACGAACGCUGGCGGCGUGCCUAAUACAUGCAAGUUGAGCGCUGAAGGUUGGUACUUGUACCAACUGGAUGAGCAGCGAACGGGUGAGUAACGCGUGGGGAAUCUGCCUUUGAGCGGGGGACAACAUUUGGAAACGAAUGCUAAUACCGCAUAAAAACUUUAAACACAAGUUUUAAGUUUGAAAGAUGCAAUUGCAUCACUCAAAGAUGAUCCCGCGUUGUAUUAGCUAGUUGGUGAGGUAAAGGCUCACCAAGGCGAUGAUACAUAGCCGACCUGAGAGGGUGAUCGGCCACAUUGGGACUGAGACACGGCCCAAACUCCUACGGGAGGCAGCAGUAGGGAAUCUUCGGCAAUGGACGAAAGUCUGACCGAGCAAAGCCGCGUGAGUGAAGAAGGUUUUCGGAUCGUAAAACUCUGUUGGUAGAGAAGAACGUUGGUGAGAGUGGAAAGCUCAUCAAGUGACGGUAACUACCCAGAAAGGGACGGCUAACUACGUG
rnacentral:rRNA from 1 species